rnacentral:lncRNA from 1 species
GUGGUGUCUAAUGUUGGGCAGGCAUGCGGGCGUGCGGAAGACUAUGGUGACUGCCGAUCUGAUGGAACUCGAUGACGGGAGGCAUAUAGCAGCACGGGGCCACUGAUCCGAUCGAUUUGACAUCGGAGAUGCGUGCGGAUGUGAGGAGGGGAGCCGGAGACACCAGGGCCACUGAUCCAGCAGAGUCCGAUGUUGGGAGGCCUCGG